UUCUUUGCAAAAAUAUUGUACUUAAAACAUGCUCGUUAACGAUCUUGGGGAUGUAAGAUUUUGGAGUUGGAAUGAAUGCGAGACAUCAUCUGUUUCAGCAGCUCUGGAGAGAGAUCGCUAUCUGAAUCAAUGGCUCCAAUGAGUUGUGCUUAGCUGGAGUCCAGAUUAUCCUCAGUAUCCUGGCGUUGUUUCCUGCCCAUCUCCUUUGCUUCUUGGCUUCAUAUGUUAACGUAUUUGGGAACUCCAUUUUUGCUGGCUACCCUGUGGUCAGGUUUUCCAAGCGGGCUGCCUCGUCAGUAGUGCGUUGUAGAUCUGGCCAAGGACCUUAUUCUCAGCUGGGAGCUGUUAAAUCUUCCUCUUGAAGGUAUUUUCACUCAAGUAGCUCUCUGCUGCCCUCCACUGGCACUCAGCCACAAGAGCUAGCUAGCCUUCUGCGUCGGGGCUAACUCAGUGCAUCCCAUCCCUGGCUUCAAAGGAGACUAGCUCUAAAAGAUACAACUGGACAAAUGGAAUACGUUUGUCCUUUCCUAUACGGCAGAACUAUCAAUCACAAUGAAGCAAGUAUAAUCCCCUGGCCUUCUCUUCUCUACCAGUCUGCUUGAAAUCAAUGUGGAUAAUCUCAAAAUAACAGUGCCUCUCUUACUGGAUGGCAUCGAGGUGGACUGCUUCAACAGCUCAGUCUUCUCAUCAAGGAUCCAAGUUCUUUGAGCUUCUCCACUCUGCUGCCUACAACAUCAGCUUUACACACUGGUUGAUUUUCUUUAUGAUUGUGAGGUAACUGCUAUGUGUUUUGUUCUUGUCAUGUGUGUGUGUAUGUGACACACACACACAGAGGAUUUCUCUGUGAAUACAUGAAUUAAACUGGGAUAAAUGAGGAAAGAGGAGAAAGGAAGAGAGGAUGCUGGGUGAUCAUCCAUGUCCAACACAGGAAAGCAAUGUAACAUAAUGAUAAAUAUUUUUGGAUAGCACAUUUUAAUAAAGUCUGACUCCACUAGAUUAAUAUUACUUCGAGCAAGAUUUAAAACCGUGUUGAAAAAAAUUCCCGUUUCCUAAUUCUUACUUCCUUUUCGAAAUUCAGUUAUGAUCACUUAACAUGGAGACUCUAGAUUCUGAAUUAU